AGUGAACUGUGCGAUCAGGAUCCUUUCCCAGAGCCCUCCCAGCAAGACAGAGGCAGAUAGCGGUGAGGCUCUGGUGACCAAGAGACAUGGCUGAAACAGAAGUCGGGAAGUCUGUAUCCGAGUUUCCAGAUACCCUCAGCCCUUCUCCAAUCGACACAAAGCAGCCAGUAAAGCAGAUUGGAGAAGAAAGUGGGGGAAAGGCCGACAGGAGCUCUGAGGUCUCUCCAGGGGGAGAAGAAAACAAAAGGCAGAGUCGAGAGGACAAGGAACCCAGACAGAAGAGACCUAGGCAAUGUUCGGGUGGAUCCUUCAGCAGACCGCACCACCGCCGCGCCAGGGGUCACCUUGAAGACAAGAGCAGGGCGAGCCCACCUCCCGCCAGAGACAGAGGAAGGCACAAGCCCCAGUCGACCCCAGCAAAACAACACUGGGCAAGAGGU
rnacentral:lncRNA from 1 species